UACGUAGGGGGCAAGCGUUGUCCGGAUUUAUUGGGCGUAAAGAGCGUGUAGGCGGCCAGGUAGGUCCGUUGUGAAAACUGGAGGCUUAACCUCCAGCUGUCGAUGGAAACCAUCUGGCUAGAGUCCGGAAGAGGAGAGUGGAAUUCCUGGUGUAGCGGUGAAAUGCGCAGAUAUCAGGAAGAACACCCGUGGCGAAGGCGGCUCUCUGGGACGGUACUGACGCUGAGACGCGAAGGCCAGGGGAGCAAACGGG
rnacentral:rRNA from 1 species